rnacentral:rRNA from 1 species
UACAGGGGGGGCAAGCGUUGUUCGGAAUUACUGGGCGUAAAGGGCCAGUAGGCGGCCAACUAAGUCCGACGUGAAAUCCCCAAGCUUAACUUGGGAACUGCGUCGGAUACUGGAUGGCUUGAAUUCGGGAGAGGGAUGCAGAAUUCCAGGUGUAGCGGUGAAAUGCGUAGAUAUCUGGAGGAAUACCGGUGGCGAAGGCGGCAUCCUGGACCGACAUUGACGCUGAGGCGCGAAAGCCAGGGGAGCAAACGGG